rnacentral:rRNA from 1 species
GACGAACGCUGGCGGCGUGCCUAAUACAUGCAAGUCGAACGCAGUGGGGACGGGUGAGUAACACGUGGGUAACCUCCCAUCAGAGGGGAUAACACUUGGAAACAGGCGCAAAACUGAUACUGGAGGAGGGACCAGCGGUGCAUUAGCUGGUUGGUGGGGUAACGCCUCACCAAGGCCACGAUGCCUAGCCGUCCUGUGAGGGUGAUCGGCCACACUGGGACUGAGACACUGCCCAGACUCCUACGGUAGGCAGCAGUAGGGAAUCUUCGGCAAGGGACGAAAGUCUGACCGAGCAACGCCGCGUGAGUGAAGAAGGUUUUCGGUUCGUAAAACUCUGUUGUUAGAGAAGCGGUAUCUAACCAGAAAGCCACGGCUAACUACGUGCCAGCAGCCGCGGUAAUUC